UACGUAGGGUGCAAGCGUUGUCCGGAAUUAUUGGGCGUAAAGAGCUCGUAGGCGGUUUGUCGCGUCUGCUGUGAAAACUCGGGCUUAACCCCGGGUCGGCAGUGGAUACGGGCAGGCUAGAGGUAGGUAGGGGAGAAUGGAAUUCCCGGUGUAGCGGUGAAAUGCGCAGAUAUCGGGAGGAACACCGGUGGCGAAGGCGGUUCUCUGGGCCUUACCUGACGCUGAGGAGCGAAAGCGUGGGGAGCGAACAGG
rnacentral:rRNA from 1 species